AUUGAACGCUGGCGGCAGGCCUAACACAUGCAAGUCGAGCGGAGCGGCGGACGGGCGAGUAAUGCCUAGGAAUCUGCCUGGUAGUGGGGGAUAACGUCCGGAAACGGGCGCUAAUACCGCAUACUAUCAGAUGAGCCUAGGUCGGAGUAGCUAGGUGGGGGGGUAAAGGCCUACCAAGGCGACGAUCCGUAACUGGUCUGAGAGGAUGAUCAGUCACACUGGAACUUGGACACGGUCCAGACUCCUACGGGAGGCAGCAUUGGGGAGUAUUGGGCAAUGGGGUAAAGCCUGAUCCAGCCAUGCCGCGGGUGUGAAGAAGGUCUUCGGAUUGUAAAGCACUGUAAGUUGGGAGGCGGUACCAACAGAAUGAGCACCGGCUAACUUCGUGCCAGCAGCCGCGGUAAUUC
rnacentral:rRNA from 1 species